GACGAACGCUGGCGGCGUGCCUAAUACAUGCAAGUCGAACGCUGAAGGAGGAGCUUGCUCUUCUGGAGGAGUUGCGAACGGGUGAGGAACGCGUAGGUAACCUGCCUGGUAGCGGGGGAUAACUAUUGGAAACGAUAGCUAAUACCGCAUAAGAGUAGAUGUUGCAUGACAUUUGCGUAAAAUUCGCAAUUGCAUCACUACCAGAUGGACCUGCGUUGUAUUAGGUAGGUGGUGGGGUAACGGCACACCAACGCGACGAUACAUAGCCGACCUGAGAGGGUGAUCCGCCCAACUGGGAACGGAACAAGGCCCAGGCUCCUACGGGAGGCAGCCGGAGGGGAACUUUGGCAAAUGACGGAAGUCUGAACGAGGAACGCCGGGGGAGUGAAGGAGGGUUUCGGAUCGUUAAGGUCUGUUGUAAGAGAAGAAAGAGUGUGAGAGUAGAAAGUUCACACUGUGACGGUAUCUUAACAGAAAGGGACGGCUAACUACGUG
rnacentral:rRNA from 1 species